rnacentral:rRNA from 1 species
UGGGGAAUUUUGGACAAUGGGCGCAAGCCUGAUCCAGCCAUGCCGCGUGCGGGAAGAAGGCCUUCGGGUUGUAAACCGCUUUUGUCAGGGAAGAAAUCUUCUGAGUUAAUACCUCGGGAGGAUGACGGUACCUGAAGAAUAAGCACCGGCUAACUACGUGCCAGCAGCCGCGGUAAUACGUAGGGUGCAAGCGUUAAUCGGAAUUACUGGGCGUAAAGCGUGCGCAGGCGGUUUUGUAAGACAGAGGUGAAAUCCCCGGGCUCAACCUGGGAACUGCCUUUGUGACUGCAAGGCUUGAGUGCGGCAGAGGGGGGAUGGAAUUCCGCGUGUAGCAGUGAAAUGCGUAGAUAUGCGGAGGAACACCGAUGGCGAAGGCAAUCCCCUGGGCCUGCACUGACGCUCAUGCACGAAAGCGUGGGGAGCAAACAGGAUUAGAUACCCUGGUAGUCCACGCCCUAAAACGAUGUCAACUGGUUGUUGGGAAGGUUCCUUCUCAGUAACGUAGCUAACGCGUGAAGUUGACCGCCUGGGGAGUACGGCCGCAAGGUUGAAAACUCAAAUGAAUUGACGGGGUCAUAGCUGUUUCC